rnacentral:siRNA from 1 species
CAUCUUUUGGUGGAAUUGUGUU